ensembl:lncRNA
CAUCAACUCAGAAUCCAACACAAUCCAAUCCAUUAUGGUAAAUGGUUUAAUCUCUAUAAUAUGUAUUAUAGAGAUAUAUAAUCUUCAUCUGAAUCUAUGUGGUCUAAGGUAGUGUUUCUGAAACUAUGGGUUGGGACCCCUUAUGUGGCUACACACAGGGAAACAGAGCACACCAGAAUUGGGAAUCCUUUCGUUUUUAACAAAAAGAGAAGCAAUUCUGUGUGUGUGUGUGUGUGUGUGUGUGUGUGUGUGUGUGUGUGUGUGUGUGUGUGUGUGUGUGUGUGUGUGUGUGUGUGUGUGUGUGUGUGUGUGUGUGUGUGUGUGUGUGUGUGUGUGUGUGCGCCUGCGUGUGUGCAUGAGCGUAAGACGUGUGUAUAUCAGAGGUGCUUAUCUCUGGCCUCUGCUUCCCUCCUGUGCAGCAGUACUGCUUCUCCUGGCGGUCCAGUGGGGGCGUGUCCUCCCGAUGCCCAUUCUGGACCAGAGUGUGUGUAACGGCGCUUUACGUCUGACAGAGACCCUCCAGCACGAAGCCAGUCAGUUGCUGGACAACUAUGUGCUCAUCCAUCAGUUUCAGGCUGAUUCCAUCCCAGAAGACGUUCCUGAUGCCAAGGUGAAUGGUAACAGCCCCGCUGAGAAACUGUACAGCAUCGCUGUGCAGGAAAUGCUGUUCUACCAGCACCUCAAUGUCGUAGAGGCAUACAGCAUGGACUUAUGGGCCAACCCAGACCCCAGCCUACAGGACGCCUUCAAAACGGCAAAACUUCGAUUGUCAAAACAUUAUCAGAAGAUGGGGGAGCUUCUGAAUGCAGUUGACCCCAACUUUAAUUCUCCAACCACGCCGGCUCCCCGAAGCUCAGCAUCGAGGGCGGCUAUGCCAAUAAACAUUAUGGCUGGGGGGUUUUAUCAAACCUAAAGGUCCUGUUAAACAAUGUGGAGCAAGAGCUCAAAAGUGUUUGUGGGGAAGAGUUACAAAACCUAUAAUCUGUCUAACCUUUAUUAUGUCUUAUAUAUUUAUAUAUUUAUUGAAUGUUUUUAUACUGAUUGAUAUUUAUUUGUUUGAUGGUGAUUCCAAACCCUUUUUCCUCACAGCCUAAAGUAGCCAUUGCCCAUGUUAAAUUGUAUGUUUAUUUAUUGUACUUAUUUAUAAAUUCUGGUUAGGUGCCUGUUCUAUUCGUGCCUGUUUGGAACAUGCAAUAAUUUGUAAACAUAUUUGUAUUUAUUUAUAGAUGUAUUUAUUAAUGUUUUGAGAAAGACAAGUGUAAAUUUUAAACUAUGAUUUUUUUCUAGAUAUUUGUAUUUAAAUAUUUAUUUAAUAUGAUUGCCUAACAUGGCACCUAUUGGGAUUACGUAAGAGCCACUGUAUACACACACUGUUUAUAAGCCUAGGUGCUGUUUAUGUAAAGAGUAAAGAUUUUAUUUUUUAUUAAACUGUAUUUUCAUACUAUGACUAUG